UGAUACCAGAGGCCUGGGAUCAAACAUCCGGCGCAGGCUUGCCCGCAAGAGAAUGUUUGGCCUUGGGGCCUCCAAAAACAGGAAUACGAGGUCAUUUUCCGAAGAAAAAUGAGCGGAUUGUGAAUGUUUUUGGGGAUUGCGGAAGCACAUCGCGCGGAGCAAUCCGGUAUCA
rfam:Lachnoclostridium sp. An14 An14_contig_24, whole genome shotgun sequence.